AGGCUUGCUUCUUAUGAAAGUGGCGCACGGGUGCGUAACGCGUAUGCAACCUACCUUAAUCAGGGGGAUAGCCCGAAGAAAUUCGGAUUAAGACCGCAUAAAAACACAGGAUAGCAUUAUCCAAUGUUCAAAUAUUUAUAGGAUUAAGAUGGGCAUGCGUGUCAUUAGCUAGUUGGCGGGGUAACGGCCCACCAAGGCGACGAUGACUAGGGGAUCUGAGAGGAUGACCCCCCACACUGGUACUGAGACACGGACCAGACUCCUACGGGAGGCAGCAGUAAGGAAUAUUGGUCAAUGGAGGGAACUCUGAACCAGCCAUGCCGCGUGCAGGAAGACAGCCCUCUGGGUCGUAAACUGCUUUUAUUCGGGAAUAAACCUUUCUACGUGUAGGAAGCUGAAUGUACCGAAGGAAUAAGGAUCGGCUAACUCCGUGCCAGCAGCCGCGGUAAUACGGAGGAUCCAAGCGUUAUCCGGAUUUAUUGGGUUUAAAGGGUGCGUAGGCGGCUUAUUAAGUCAGGGGUGAAAGACGGUGGCUCAACCAUCGCAGUGCCCUUGAUACUGAUGAGCUUGAAUACACUAGAGGUAGGCGGAAUGUGACAAGUAGCGGUGAAAUGCAUAGAUAUGUCACAGAACACCGAUUGCGAAGCAGCUUACUAUGGUGUUAUUGACGCUGAGG
rnacentral:rRNA from 1 species